rnacentral:rRNA from 1 species
CAGCCGCCACGGUAAAACGUAGGUCCCGAGCGUUGUCCGGAUUUAUUGGGCGUAAAGGGAGCGCAGGCGGUUUAGUAAGUCUGAAGUUAAAGGCAUUGGCUCAACCAAUGUAUGCUUUGGAAACUGUUAGACUUGAGUGCAGAAGGGGAGAGUGGAAUUCCAUGUGUAGCGGUGAAAUGCGUAGAUAUAUGGAGGAACACCGGUGGCGAAAGCGGCUCUCUGGUCUGUCACUGACGCUGAGGCUCGAAAGCGUGGGUAGCGAACAGGAUUAGAUACCCCUGUAGUCCCUGUCUCUUAUCCC